AUUUCCCAAAGGAUUUAAAGCAACUUGCCACAUAGUAACAUAUACUAAAAUAAUGUCCUGGUGUAAGAAUAAAAAGUCAGGUCUAUAGAAAAUAAACAAGAGUAAAAAAAAUAUCUCUAGGGUAGAGGGUGGUCUGAGAGGGAUAUAAAUAUUAAGACCUUAUGGAACCACACACAGUUACCUUGGUUGAACUUCAAAUUUAUAUGUAAUUUCAAAGCGUUGUGGUAAUUUUUAAAAUGGGGACAUGAUUGGUUCUUAUUGUCAGGGAGGGAAAUUCAUACCGAUUAUUCAAGGAAAACACAAUUUCCCUAUUGCAUAGCUUGAUAAUAUAUUUCUACAUGGAUGUUUUUGUAAGAUGCGUUCAGUAGUAGGAUGGCAGUGUCUUCCACAGCACACCUACCAUGAACUCUGUGGUUUUACAUGACUGCUUCUUAUAUCAUCCCUUGGUAAAGCUGAGAGCAUGCCGCUAAAGCAUGAUUGGAAUGAUAAAUCUGGAGGGGAUAGAAAACCCAGAUCAUAUGGCCACAGGAAAGAUAGUGCUUAGAGGACUAUUAAUUCUUUUAACAAUCUUCUAUUUAUACCUACCUUAGCUGAUAUUUUUAAUAAAUUUGGGCAGCAGACAACUCAAAGUAAAAUUUGCUGGGGUGUAUUUGAAGUGUUCUAAGUGGUUUACUGUUGGAACCACGUAUUUUAGGAAGUGGAUGAGAAGAGUAGAGAAUAAUAGCUUUUUCUGAAAAUUAAGGACUUAAGUUUCUUUUUCUUUUUUUUUUAAUUAAAGGGCUCUUUCUACAGCUACAUAUAAGAAAGAAAUUAAUUUUUACUGUAUCUUUUUCCUUCCUUCAUUCUUCUUCAAGUAUUUAUUGAUACCUCUUAUGCCGUAGACUUUGGGUUGUGGCAGUGAACAAUAGAAUGUAAUAGAGUAUAAUUCUAGUGAGGAAGGCAAAUGUUAAAGAAGAUAAUAGUUAUUUAGUUGCAAUUUUGAUAUGCUCUUCUGAAAACAGAGUGGAAAGUAAGCAUGUAAGUGAGAGAUUGGCAUACUGUAUAACCUUUCUGGUUUGAAUGCUGCAUCCCUACACUAUGGAAGCAGUUGCCUCGGAGAUGUUAAUUGACUAUUUACAGAUGGCCUUGCCUAAUCUUAGCAAACUGUCACGUUCAGUAGCAUGGUGUUACUGUGAUGAUUUUUAAAGUUUUUGUUUUGUUUUGUUUUUGUGUGUGAAUGUUUGUUUUAGCAGCAGGAAUCUUUUGUUUAAAAAAUGAAACUUAGCGGGAGUCCAUAAAUAGAAAACAGAAAAUAAAAUCUGAGCUGUUCCUGUUUAGGGUUGGGUUACAGUGAGAACUCUGGUUCCUUGGACUUUCCCUGCAUUUGGCCCUCCCAGAAUCACCUCUUUGUGACCCCUGUGGCACUAAUUUGAAAACCAGUAUUCUGGAGGUCUCAGCGCUGUCUACCCUUGCUUAUUUAAUGGCCCUCCACUGGCCCCACAGAUAGUGCUUGCACUGUCCAAUUGGUACCCAUUUCUGUGCUAGACUCUCUGAACACUUCUUGCACUGACCCAACCUAAGGAACAAACAGGAAUUUUCUUUGGAUUCGUGAAACCCAAACUGGACUUUCUUUAGUUGCUGUGAUUUUCUACCAAUGAUUCCUGUUCUCAGUCCACUUCCUACUUAGGCUUCUUACCACCACCCCAUUUGUUAGCUCAGAUGCUAUCUGUGCAUGAAUUAAUGAAGAUUAGAAAGGAAGUAUUGUAUCCAUUAAUUCAACAAAUAAGUUUUGAGCUCCAACUCCAAGCUCCAAGUAUAUGCUCAGCAUUGUCCAAGGAACUUAGAGAUACAACCACAAACAACAACAAUGACCCAAAAUACCCCUCAUCCCUGCACUCUUGGAGCUUACAUCCUAGUGGAGGGCAGACAAUAAACAAAUGCAUGAGAAACCAUUGUGUUACAGAUGGUGAUAAUUUCUUUGAGAGAAAUAAUCAAAGAAAAAGCAUAGGGCGUGUCUGGGUGAGGUGGGCAAAGGUUUACUAUUUUAAGGAAUGAGAUCAAAGGACACUUCACUGAGAAAAUGACAUCUGAGGAAUGUCAGGAAGGAUGAAGUGAUACAGCUGUUUGGGAGAAGAACAUUCUAAACAGGAGUGGCAGGUGUGGGCAGUGCUUAGUCAGAGGCCUCACAUAUUUGGGAACAAGUGUGGCUAAAAGGACACUUGUUAGCCACACACAAAGGAACAAGUGUGGCUAAAGCAAAGUGAGUAAGAGACGAGCUCAUAAAAAUAGCAAAAACCAGAUCAUGGACCACCUUGUUAGCUGUUGUUGGGACUUCUUUCUACUCUGAAGGAGGAUGUGUAGAAGUGAUAUAAUCUAACACGGAUGAUAAAAGGAUCAGUUGGGUUGCUGCAUGGAAAACGGAAUGAAGCAGAUAAGGGCAGGUGCAGGGACACCACUUGGAAGUGGUGUCCACAAAAUGGGGGAAAAUAGAGAGUAUGAAAGGAGAAUAAUUUGCUCAAGGAGAUUUCUUCAUUUUUCCCAUUUGAUAAAAGGAUGAUUGAACUUAGUGGAUAGGGUGCUUAUAGAGAAGAAGUAAAAACUCAAAAUUAUCUGCGAUAGUAAAUGGGUGAUGAUUUAAUUGAUGGAAAGGGAAACAGUGGAGAGAUGUUUGUCUGAGAGCAGGGUGUGAAAGAUGACCCUAUGGCUCAACAAAUCUCUUUCUGUUGUCAGUGGAUAUGAAAGUGUAAACUAAAAAAUGUCAGAAUAAAAAUAAGGGGAAAAAUCAAGCACAGAGUUUUCAGUUUGAGAGUUUCAGAUAUAUAGAGUUCUGCAUGGUUUAUAAAAUAUUUAUUUAAUAUGUUUACAACUGUGCUAAUGACUAAACCCCUUCUUUCCCCCUCUUUCCUAGAACCUUGCUAAAGGUAUAAUAGAAAAAGAAUAUGAGUUUAAAAGAAUUGGAUAAUAUUCAUUUUUCUGUUUAAUACCAUUUAUGGAAUGCUUAUCAUUUAUGAGAAAUAUUCUAGGUAUAUUCUGGAGAUGUAAAUAUGAAUGAAUCAAGUUAUUUUCCUUCAUGAAGCCUAUAGUUGAAUGGAAAAUAUAGAAAUAAAGAAACUAGACUGUAGUGUGGUACACAUUAGGUGUUACCUAACUGUCAAUAAAGGAUUAAUUGAAUCAGAGCAUUUCCCUAUGUGUGGUGUCUUAAAGGAUGAGUAGAGGAGCCAACAGUUGGGGUGGGGAGGGAGAGAGAGGGUUGCAGGCAGGAGAAACUUCAUGUGUCAGGAUUCUGAGGGGGUGACAUCACAUGUCCUAUUUACUGUUUGAAAGCAGAGAUGCACAGAGCUCAGAGAGUGUCUUGUCUCAGGAGCCAAGGUAUAUUGUAUAUCAUCUAGCGUAGAAAACAACUCAAAGUUUUUAAUGACCUUCAGGAUGUAUUUUAUAUUAUUUAUUGUCCAAGCCAGGAUAGUUUGAUAGUAAAAAAGGGUGCUGUAUUAAUUACACUUGGAACAGGUAUAAUUUAGGACUGUGCAGGCAAACCUCAGUAUUUGGUUAUCAUAAUGAUAGCUGUUUUCUUAUACAAAGUUGUCAUAAAUAUACUUAUUGGUGGUGCAAACUGAAUUCCUUGAUAAAAAUAUAUAUUUAAAGAAAAUAAACCAAUAAGCAGGGCUUUAAUAGGAGGGAUAAGCUGCUUUAAGAUGGAAGAUCAAGGAAAGUUUUUCUGAAAUUAAGACUUCUGAGCUGAGACUGGAACGUGAAGGCGUCUGCCAAGGGAAGGUCCAUGUAGGACAGCUCCAGAGAGGGGGAAGCAUCAAAAGUCUCAUGUCCAGCCUCAUAGAUAAUGGUAAAGAAUGAGUUUUACUCUGGGUCUCAUAUAUUAGUUUGCUAGAGCUGCCAUAACAAGGCACCAUGGACUGGUGGCUUAUGCAAUAGAAACAUAUUUUCUCAUGGUUCUGGAGGCUGGAUGUCUGGGAUCAAGGUGUUAGCAGGAUUGUUUCUUCUGAGGGCUAGGAGGGAAGAAUCUGUUACAGGCCUCUCUUCUCAGCUCCCCCAUGAUCAUCUUCUCUACCUUUUUUCUCAGUGUCUUUCCCCUCUAUGUAUCUGUGUACAAAUUUCCUCUUUGUAUAAGGACUUCUGUCAUACUGGAUUAGGGCCCUUCUAAUGACUUAAUUUUAACUUACCUCUUUGAGGACCCUGUCUCCAAAUAUGAACACAUUCUGAGGUAUUUAGGGGUAGUACUUCAAGAAAUAAAUUUUUGGAGGGACAUCAUUCAUCUGUUAACACCUCAGUAAGUUUUGAAAGAACUGUGGGAAUAUUUGAUUAACUGAAUAAGGUAUUUAAGCUCAAUUUUAAAGGGAAGUGGGAUAGAAAAAGUUGUAUUCAGUUAGUGUGGAGAUCAUGGUAUAAAAUAUAAAGAAGCUAUAUAUGGAGGACUAUAAAAAGCCUUAUAUAGAGGGUUAUAGUAAUAGUUCUUAAGGGAAGCCAUGAUUCAGAUCUCAAAUAUCUAGAAAUCAAAACAAUCUGUGCAUAACAAACAAGCAAUCUUGAAUUAUUGCAAAAAAAAAGUUAUUUAUAAGAGCUUCUGGGAACACUAAUAUGUGUAGUGAUAGGAUCUAGGAAUGACCGAAGAUAACUGUCCUUUGUUCAUGAGAGAUAGAUAAAAUAGAAGGAAUUAUGGCAACUAUACUUCAAUUAAAAACAAACAAACAAACAAAAAAA
rnacentral:lncRNA from 1 species